rnacentral:rRNA from 1 species
AAGGCGACGACGGGUAGCCGGCCUGAGAGGGCGACCGGCCACACUGGGACUGAGACACGGCCCAGACUCCUACGGGAGGCAGCAGUGGGGAAUAUUGCGCAAUGGGCGAAAGCCUGACGCAGCGACGCCGCGUGGGGGAUGAAGGCCUUCGGGUUGUAAACCCCUUUCGGCAGGGACGAAGCGAAAGUGACGGUACCUGCAGAAGAAGCGCCGGCUAACUACGUGCCAGCAGCCGCGGUAACACGUAGGGCGCAAGCGUUGUCCGGAAUCAUUGGGCGUAAAGAGCUCGUAGGCGGUCUGUUGCGUCCGCUGUGAAAACUCGGGGCUUAACCCCGAGCUUGCAGUGGAUACGGGCAGACUAGAGGUAGGUAGGGGAGAAUGGAAUUCCCGGUGUAGCGGUGAAAUGCGCAGAUAUCGGGAGGAACACCGGUGGCGAAGGCGGUUCUCUGGGCCUUACCUGACGCUGAGGAGCGAAAGCGUGGGGAGCGAACAGGAUUAGAUACCCUGGUAGUCCACGCCGUAAACGUUGGGCGCUAGGUGUGGGGUCCUUCCACGGAUUCCGUGCCGCAGCUGACGAAUUAAGUUGCUCACA